rnacentral:rRNA from 1 species
AUUGAACGCUGGCGGCAUGCCUACACAUGCAAGUCGAACGGCAGCACGGGGCAACCUGGUGGCAAGUGGCGAACGGGUGAGUAAUGCAUCGGAACGUACCUUUCAGUGGGGGAUAACGUAGCGAAAGUUACGCUAAUACCGCAUAUUCUGUGAGCAGGAAAGCAGGGGAUCGCAAGACCUUGCGCUGAUUGAGCGGCCGAUGUCAGAUUAGCUAGUUGGUGAGGUAAAGGCUCACCAAGGCGACGAUCUGUAGCGGGUCUGAGAGGAUGAUCCGCCACACUGGAACUGAGACACGGUCCAGACUCCUACGGGAGGCAGCAGUGGGGAAUUUUGGACAAUGGGGGCAACCCUGAUCCAGCCAUGCCGCGUGAGUGAAGAAGGCCUUCGGGUUGUAAAGCUCUUUCGGCCGGGAAGAAAUCGCACGGGCUAAUACCCUGUGUGGAUGACGGUACCGGAAUAAGAAGCACCGGCUAACUACGUGCCAGCCGCCGCAGUAAGAC